rnacentral:misc_RNA from 1 species
GAUGAAGAACGUAGCGAAAUGCGAUAAGUAGUGUGAAUUGCAGAAUUCCGUGAAUCAUCGAAUCUUUGAACGCACAUUGCGCCUUCUGGUAUUCCGGAAGGCAUGCCUGUUCGAGAGUCAUUAACAACCGUUUCGAUCCCUUUCUUUCAGAAAUUACAAAGAGGAAAAGGGUUUGGUUAUGGUGGAGGAGGGAAAGGGAGCGUUUAGCCUGUAAAAAAAGAGGCUGUGUUCCGCCUCCCCCCCAAAAUUGUACAGGCGGUCGUGUUCGCCCACGCAUCGAGGUGUUGUAAAAGCUGCCACGGCACUUUUCACCUGUGCAGUGCGAGAUUGGCCAGCCGGUUUAAAAACCCCUCCAAACAAUCAAAGGUUGACCUCGGAUCAGGUAGGGAUACCCGCUGAACUUAAGCAUAUCAAUAAGCGGAGGA